CCGAGUUUACAACUCCCAAACCCCUGUGAACAUACCUACUUGUUGCCUCGGCGGAUCAGCCCGCGCCCUGUAAAACGGGACGGCCCGCCAGAGGACCCCUAAACUCUGUUUCUAUAGUGGAACUUCUGAGUAAAACCAUAAAUAAAUCA
rnacentral:misc_RNA from 1 species